rnacentral:rRNA from 1 species
UACGUAGGGUGCAAGCGUUAAUCGGAAUUACUGGGCGUAAAGCGUGCGCAGGCGGUUUUGUAAGUCUGACGUGAAAUCCCCGGGCUCAACCUGGGAAUUGCGUUGGAGACUGCAAGGCUAGAAUCUGGCAGAGGGGGGUAGAAUUCCACGUGUAGCAGUGAAAUGCGUAGUGAUGUGGAGGAACACCGAUGGCGAAGGCAGCCCCCUGGGUCAAGAUUGACGCUCAUGCACGAAAGCGUGGGGAGCAAACAGG